UGUAUUAUUCAAAUAUUACAUAUGCAGGGUAUGAUGAUUUUGUCCUAAUUUUAUUUGUCUUAUUUUGUAUCAUUAUAUUAUCAAUGUAAAUUCAACAUUAGUCCAGUGAUUAAUGUAUUUAUAGAACACAAUGUACAGUUGUUUAUCAAUUCAUGUUCAAUACAAUAUAAGAACAAUAACAAGGGCUACUGUCGAUUAGAUAUAAAGGAGAUUUCUUGGAAAAACAAGACAAAACAUAGCAAUUAUGAGGCAAAUCAUAUAUUGUAUGAUAAACAUUGAUCUAUAGAGUUGAAAACUGCUUAAUAAAUAAAAGAAGUUUGAUAAGUUGUUAUAUGGUAACAUAUCUUGUUUAAAUAUCAUUUCAGAUAACAAAAAAAAAAGGUAGCGGAAGAAUUUAUUGAACUAAUGGAUUGUUCUUGUAUCGAUUCUUAUAUAAAAAAAAGUUUUAAGGAAUAAAAUUAUCAGCCAGUGAUAAGAAGAACAGCAGUAUUAAAAAUAUCAGAAUAUAAGUAUUGAAACCACCAAGUAAGUUGGCAGUCAAAGAAAAUACUUGAACAAAAUCAAAGAAAAAUAAUAAAGUAUCAUUAUUACUUUACAGUAAGAAAUUACAAUCAAAGUUACAUACAUCUGAUAAUACUGUAAGUGAAAAUUGCAGCUUAUUAAAUCAUAAUCUUUAUAAUCUAUAAAUUACCCGAUAAAAUGUAUUUCUAAUAUUAAUAAUUAGUAAAAAAACAAUUUUUCUGACAGGCUAAAAAAAUAUUCACUCUUAGAAGAGUUAAUAUUUAUAUAACAUUUGAUCAGAAAACAUGAUUGAAAUAAAAGGCAGCGCAAAAAGCGAUCAUAUUUGACAUUUGUAAAGUAUUUAUUAUCUUAUUAGAAGAUUAUAUGUACCACUGAUACUUUGCUAAGCAUCUAAAAUAUUGUUUAUUAAAAUGAAAAUAUAUAUUGUCGAUCGACGAGUAGAUUAAUCUUCUG